GACAGAGGGUGCUAGCGUUGUUCGGAAUUACUGGGCGUAAAGGGCGCGUAGGCGGUCUGUUAAGUUCGGUGUGAAAUCCCCUGGCUCAACUGGGGAACUGCGCUGGAAACUGGCAGACUCGAGUACCGGAGAGGAGAGUGGAAUUCCUGGUGUAGCGGUGAAAUGCGUAGAUAUCAGGAGGAACACCGGUGGCGAAGGCGGCUCUCUGGACGGAUACUGACGCUGAGGCGCGAAAGCGUGGGGAGCAAACGGG
rnacentral:rRNA from 1 species